rnacentral:rRNA from 2 species
GCUUUUGGUAUCUCGUAAUGUAGAACAAUAU